rnacentral:misc_RNA from 1 species
GAAAUGCGAUAAGUAAUGUGAAUUGCAGAAUUCAGUGAAUCAUCGAAUCUUUGAACGCACCUUGCGCCCUUUGGCUAUUCCGAAGGGCAUGCCUGUUUGAGUAUCAUGAACACCUCAACUCUUCAUGGCUUGCUGUGAUGAGCUUGGACUUUGGGGGUCUUGUUGGCCUGUGAGCCAGCUCCUCUUAAAUGAAUUAGCUUGCCAGUGUUUGGUGGCAUCACAGGUGUGAUAACUAUCUACGCUUGUGGUUUCCCAUCAGGUAACCUUCAGUGAUGGAGGUUCGCUGGGGCUUAUAAACAUCUCUCCUCGGUGAGGAUAGAUUUUGACCAUUUGAUCUCAAAUCAGGUAGGACUACCCGCUGAACUUAA